GACGAACGCUGGCGGCGUGCUUAACACAUGCAAGUCGAACGGUGAAGCGCCUUCCUUUUUGGUGGGUGUGGAUGAGUGGCGAACGGGUGAGUAACACGUGAGUAGCCUGCCCCCUUCUUCUGGAUAACCGCAUGAAAGUGUGGCUAAUACGGGAUAUUCUGGGUCUGUCGCAUGAUGGGUCUGGGAAAGAUAUUGUUUCGGUGGGGGAUGGGCUCGCGGCCUAUCAGCUUGUUGGUGGGGUGAUGGCCUACCAAGGCGGGGACGGGUAGCCGGCCUGAGAGCGUCGACCCUCACACUUGGACUGGGACUCGGCCCUUACUCCUACGGGCGGCAGCAUUGUGUAAUAUUGCACAUUGGGCGCAAUCCUCAUGCAGCGACGCCUCGUGAGGGAUGGAGCCCUUCGGGUUGUGAACCUCUUUCGCCAGUGAAGCAGGCCUGCCUCGUUUGUGGGUGGGUUGACGGUACCUGGAUAAGAAGCCCCGGCUAACUACGUG
rnacentral:rRNA from 1 species